rnacentral:snRNA from 1 species
GGGUGUGAGUGCAAUCUAGCUGCAGCAUCUGUCACCCCAUUGAUCAGCAGGAUUGAUUCAGCUGCUCCGGCCCCUUCCUCCCUCACAGCUGCAUGUGCGCCCCUCCCGAAGCUGCAGGUUCGGUUAAAGAGGACGACCGUUCCCACUAGAGGAGCACCGCUAUUCUGUG